AGUGUAACCAGAGGGAGAUACAAUGAUCACAAAGGUGGUUCACCCAGGGUGAGGCCCAGCCAUUGCACUGCGGAUGUGCUAACCCCUGCGAAUACCUCAAAUGAGGGAAUCUUCACUGCAUAAUUUCUGGUAGUGGGGGCCUGCUUUCACGCUCUCCUCUG